AGCCAGUCCCCUCGGGACCCUUCCGCCCGGCCCUGACGGCAGGGGCGGGGCGAGGGCUGCCCUCUGAUUGGCUCUUCGGGUGAAUGGUUGCCAAGAGACGAGUAAAUCCUCAGCGGCGGGAAGGGGCGGGGUGCUCAGGGAGGCAGCACUGCGCAAGCGCAAUAGAGGGGGCUGCGUCGACACCCACUUAACUUCGGAGUUAGUGGGACACCUUUCUUUUUGCUUAGUACGCUUUUCUGCUAUUCCUGCCGCAUAACUCUCUCUUCCCCAGGCUUUUCCCAUCUCCAUCCUAUUCUCUCGCAGGUGCUGGGGGAAAAGAUUACUUCCCAGAUGCAGUAUUUACAUCUCCUCCGCCCUACUCUUCCAACCCUGCCUGAAAUAAGUGUGGUUCUCCUGUCUGUCAGACUAUGAAGAGUUCUCAAAUAUGUCUUUCCCAGCGAGGGAGAGGAGAAAACUUCAGCCUCCACGAUCGAUGUUUCUCAAGUGUCAAGGAAAAUGGAGCCUAGGAGGGCAGCCCCACAAGCAGCGUGAUGGGCAUUUAAGCCGACGCAUGUGCCAGGUCCUAGAACAGAGUAACUUCCCCAUCUCAACACAAUAAAAUGGUGAUAUGAGAAUACCUGUCUUAUGCGGAUGUUGUGAGGAUGAAGUGGGCUAAUUCACACACAGGAAGUUUUCAAAAAAUGUCAGCUAGUAUUAUUCAGGAGGCUUCCCUCUCUGGGACUGAGAUUCUUCUCCUGAAAAAGGAGGGAAUCUUCCAGAAAAUCUCCAGGGCCCCUACCAGCCUGACAUGCAGCUCUUGGCAGAGAAUGGAGCUGAGGCAGGAGCUUCUUCAAAGACCCUCUCAUUGAGGAGCAAGGGACCCUGACCAGCCAUUGCCCACUGUUCACCACGUGAGGUCACAGGGACUGUCUGCUAGGCGGCCCCCAGGCCCCUCAGGGAAGACAUUGAUGUUAGUUUUGUUUUUGUUUUGUUUUCAGUGUAGAAAUGUAGCAGAGAAACACAGGGCAAGUCCACGCUGAUCAUCACAUACAUGGUACAUCAAGAGCAGGGCUGAGCACGCAGUCUAAGACAUUGUGUCAUCCUGUGGGGCUCAGGCUCCUCAUCCAUACAAUAGGGUCACCCUGCCUGUCACUUGGAGUAACCAUGAGAAUUACAUAAGAUAACCUGUGUGACCUGUGAAAGUGUGUGUCCCAUCACAGCACCUGGUGCAUAUCUGUUUUCCUUC
rnacentral:lncRNA from 1 species